rnacentral:rRNA from 1 species
CAGUCGCCACGGGAAUACGAGGGGUGCAAGCGUUGUCCGGAUUUAUUGGGUUUAAAGGGUGCGUAGGCGGCUAUUUAAGUCAGCGGUGAAAGACUCCGGCUCAACCGGAGCAGUGCCAUUGAUACUGGAUAGCUUGAGUGUUGGAGAGGUACAUGGAAUUGAUGGUGUAGCGGUGAAAUGCAUAGAUACCAUCAGGAACACCGAUAGCGAAGGCAUUGUACUGGCCAACAACUGACGCUGAGGCACGAAAGCAUGGGGAGCGAACAGGAUUAGAUACCCGUGUAGUCCCUGUCUCUUAUAC